rnacentral:ncRNA from 2 species
GAUAGCAGGCCGCGACCGAGUUCCGGCCUCGCCGGAUUGAAAGGGAACACGGGGGACGGGCGCCUGCCCGCAGCCGUGGCUGCCCCCGCAACUGUGCGCGGAUGGCGGCGCCGACACGCCACUGGGGCCUCGCCCCCCGGGAAGGCCGGCCGCCGCGAUGAUCCGCAAGCCAGGAGACCUGCUCGGUCACCACCCUUUUG